rnacentral:rRNA from 1 species
UUAUAUAUUGGAGGUACUGCCUGCCCAGUGACUCUGUUUAACGGCCGCGGUAUUCUGACCGUGCAAAGGUAGCAUAAUCACUUGUCCUUUAAAUAAGGACUAGUAUGAAUGGCAAAACGAAAAUUUAACUGUCUUCUUUAUUUAGUCAAUAAAACUGAUCUUUUCGUACAAAAGCGAAAAUACUAAUAUAAGACGAGAAGACCCUAUGGAGCUUUAAACACGUCAUCAACUGUAAAUAAAACUACACCUAUGAUUGACUGUUUUUGGUUGGGGCGACCACGGAGAAAAUAAAACCUCCGAAUUAAAUGCUUAGAAUACAUAUCAUGCAAUAGGAUAUCUAAAUUUAUUGACCCAAUAAACUUGAUCAACGAACCAAGUUACCCUAGGGAUAACAGCGCAAUCUUAUCUGAGAGUCCCUAUCGAAGAGAAGGUUUACGACCUCGAUGUUGGAUCAGGAUAUCCAAGUAGUGCAACCG